ACUGUAGACAACUGCUGGAUUGUGAUUGCAAUGGGCAAAAAAUAGAGUGUUGUUUCUUUAAGAGCUUGCUCGUCCCAGCGCAGCUGCUGGUCACUACGCCGAUUGAGACAGUGGAUACUCAUCCCCUUCUCACCACAAUGGCCAUUUAUCACUCACUGGUGUGUUAUUCAAAUCUCGUACCAAGCGACCACCGACCCCACUCUCGCCCUCGCCGUUUAUUUAGAAAGCUACGCAGUUGUCACGCGACCCUCCGCGCAUCCUUUAGCCAGAAACGCUGCCAGUGCAUUGCUCCUCAUUUACAACAGUCCUCUGGAUGGGAGUGAUAAACGCCUAUGUAUAAAUGAAUUUCGAUCCUCACUAACAUGCAUUGUGAGGGUCACGCGUAUCGUGUCUUGAACACGCUGAAGAACUUUAUUUAUUCUGCGCAUUGAAGUUGGAGACUCGCAGCACCGCGGAACGAGACCUCUGGUGGAAUUUGACGCACAUCACGAUGUUUCUUUUUUUUACUCGUUUUUUGGUCUUCCAUACUUGAUCAGAAGCAUCUCACAGGUGCAGACAUGGCGUGCCUUCUGAAGAAAGUGUCUGGUGAUGGUGCAGCACAGCCUCUUAAUGAUCCGCGACCACAUCGACAGAGCAGCACAUUCUUCGAUCAUUUCCGAGGGAAAUUUUGUGAAUUGCUAUUGGUAAUUUAUUUAUAACACCGGAACGAAUUAAUUGAUAAUAUUUUAUAAUUAAUUUGGUUAUUCUCUGCCUUUAUACCCGGUAAGACCUGAUUUUAUUUCGCCGUUGUUAUUUUAGUAACCGAAAAAAUAGCUCUGUGGAAAUAUGCUAUUGUUUUUGGUAAAAUAACAUACAGUCUUAGACGGACAGUAGGAUAUUGAGAGUCAAUUUUGUCCUGUGCUAUUAUGACAUUUCUCUAGAUAACGAAAAAAAUGGACUGAAAAAUAUUAUGAUGUAUUUUUACCGCCAAGGAAUUGAAAUACAGCCGAUGUACCGAAAGCCUGCACGCCUGAAUUAUGUGAAGAAAAAACAAUGUGCUUCAAGGCCUUUUCCCACCGAAGAGCAGAAACGCACGAGGACCCAAACGCAUGGAUCCUAUACAGUAAAUGGUCUAUUCACACACAGUUGUGCUGUUUAUGGAAAUAUGAGCUCAAGCAGCUGAUUGUCCAAACGCAAUUCUUGUGAAAUGUCAAGCGAUCAGUCGAGAAUUGUGCCUGGACAUCUGUUGCUGGAGGCUCCCACGCGUCUCCAAUCAGCAUCUCUCAUAUCAGUGGCUUUUAUUAGCAGCAUUGUUUUUAAAAUAAUGAAGAGCUGUUUAAAAUUGAUGAUUUAAAAUGCGAUGUUGAAGAAAACUUGAGUUGAUUUAAAUUGACAUUACAUUUUAAGAAAUAAAAAGAUUAGCCUACAUUUGUUGUAAGCUAUUUUUCGUUAUCAUGUGGUGGUAAUGUGUUGAAUUAACAAUGGAAAAUGGUUUAGCUUGAACGUUAAAUUUAUGGAAUGUAAAACAGCAUAAAAUUAGGCUAUGUAUAUGGUGUAUUGUUUGUUAUUAUUACUAUUAUAGCUAAUUUCAUAUCAGAAUUGUGUUUGUUAGGUUUGUUUUGAUUGGUAGGCUACAUUUAUAGGCUAAAUGUAACCUAAAAUUCAGCGCUACAUUAUCAGAUGUUUUUUUUUUUUUUUUUUAAGUAGCUCAUAUAUAAUAAAAUACAUGUAGCUACAUAUUUGUCACAAAAAUUGAUUUUAACUCUAUAAUUAUAUGCAUGUUUGCUUAGUAAAUCAGAACGAAAAAUGUUUAUUAAAUUAAUUUGUUAAUCAACUGAAUUGUCGAUGAAGUUUAAUAAAGUUUGUAUUUGUGAAUAUAUUCGUUUCAAAUGAGCUACAGGAUUUUCUUCUCAGUGUAUGAGGUGUCUGCAACAGAUUUUAGGACAACAAAGAAAUGGCGUGUUAAUCCAAUAGGAUUAAACAAGAUUAGUUUUACACACAGGUCAGAUCUUUUGAUCUUUUAAAAUCAGCACGAGCAGAGCAUUAAACGAAUACAUAGUUGUCAUCCAUUUGCAUUAGACUUUAAGUUUUUUUCACUUUCCAUAUGUGAUCAGUGCAUAUUGUUCAACUUCUGAAAUGCGUUUAAAAAAAAACUAAAUUGUAAUAAAUUGUAUAAAUAAAACAGUAAAUUGUUUAAGGAUCAUUUAUAGCGUUUUCUUAUUUUAACCAUAUUAAAAUAAAUGAAUAAAUAAAGAUUUGGUUCCAUAACCUUAAAAUAAAGAAUGCAUAAAUAUCGUAGCAAUAUUUUCUUGUUUAUUGUAAGACAUUUAAAAAAAAAAAACCUUGACAUUACAAUAAAUAAAAAUGAAAUUUAAAAAUAAUUAUCAAAACGGUUUAAAUAUAAAAUAUAGAUUUUGUUUAUAAAAAAUACAGCUUGCAGCAGUCAUGGACUGCAUGCAAUUAUGAUCAUCAUCUGUCAUAAUUUAGAAAAAUUAUACAGAGCCUUUUUUAAAUUAUUAAUUCAGUACUUUUCAGUAGUUCUUUAGUGAAACAUUUCUUCCAGUGCAAAUGUGUUUAUUUCAGGCUUUCUACUAAAAUUUGUAAAUUUCUUCUACUACAAUGUAUAAACAAUCUUAUUUAAAUUGUUACAAAAUCAUAAACAGUUUCUUAUAUCUGAAUGAAUUCCAUUGAUCCUAAAGACACUCUGACUUACUCUCCAUGCACUGCUGUGUGAGGUUCAUGUUUCCAGUUUCAGAACAGAGUCACUGAGCUGAUGUGAAAGACUAUAUGCUGUGUUAGUGGAAUUUGCACUUAUCAUUGCAACUACCUCACGUGGAAGCAAAUGAGGCCAUACAUCAUGUGAAGGGAAGAAGUGACAGUGUUAGCAUCAGAGUCUUAGUUAGUUAGAGGAUUAUCAAUCAUUUCAUGCUUGCAAAGAAGGACAGAUUUUGGACAGACAUUUUCUUAUAGAUCCUCCAGAGGCCCAUGUCCCCCACUGACCACACAGAGGCCAAGGGCAUCCCUGGUGCCCCUCCACCCCUCUCCCAGCAUUCCCCCUCCUCUCGCCCUUUGUUCACCUGUUGUCCUGGAGACUCAAUUGCUGCGGUAACCACACAUUGUUUGGGUGAGAACAGAGAUGAAGAGACACACGGUCCACAAGUUAUCUCACAAGAGCACGAUGAUGCAAAGAUUGACUUUUGAAAUCAUGACGACAGAAAGUGAAAUGUAUUUGCGUAUUUAACAUCUUAAAUGUUUAGAUGGUAAAACUGCACUCUAAAAAGAGAUCAAGGGGACCUGUCACCACAACCUAAAGAAAUGCAUGCAUAACUAAUUUAUUGAUUUCACAACCCUUUAAGUUGCAAACAUUACUUUGUGUUGUUCUGAGAUCUGUUGACAUAAACUUGAUAAUUGCAUUAAUAAACCUAAUACUGUGUGAA